GGUUAUGGCUUAGUGGUAGAGCACUUGCCUAGUACACUUGAGGCACUGGGUUCGAUUCUCAGCACCA
rnacentral:tRNA from 1 species